rnacentral:lncRNA from 1 species
CAAACAUCCAGAUUAAUGUUUGACCAACUAUCUGGAUGCUGUGGACUGGCCAAGUUGGUACAUAAAAUUAACUGCUCUGGCCUCACAAGAUUAAAACUUGGUAAGAAAGUAGACACGGAAGUGUGUCUCUGUCCAGUUCCACCUAAACUGUGCUGGCAGAAACUUUGGCUCCUGCUGCUUAGCUCCUUCAGCGACCUGCGAGUCUGUCUCACGAAAAGAUACCGACCGCCAUCUUGAAUUUCUAAGCACUAAACACGAAGAGAUGUGAGUUUCUCAAAAGAUGCUUCAGACCCUCUGAGCCCCUUUGUCUGCGUGGAACGGGUCUCUAGUCGCGGGUGGACAAAGCGUAGGAUGAGUGACAAACAGACGCACACAGGAGAGGUCGAGGAAUCUGAAUGUCAUUUUUCAAAUCGAGCAUCAGACUUUUUAUGCAGAAGACAAUAAGGAAGUUGGAUGACAUACCUGCAAGCUUUCCCAGAUAUCUCUGAAGAUACCAUUUUGAAUAGGACUCACAUCACUCACUGCCUUGGUAGGGUCAUCUUUGUUCCACAAGAGGAAAACUGUCCACGAGAGGAUGGAUUUACCAGCUCUUCUUCUCUCCUGAAGACUGUUGUCCUGCCUAUGCCCAGACCCAUCUACAUCAGAUCUGAGGAGUGAGUCUUCUAAACUAUGAAGGACAUAUUAUAAUAUUCAAUAAACAAUCUGUGGCCUCCAUAUGCACAGAAUGUGAUGCUGGGCAAACAGAGAGCUCUGAGCAAAAGUUCUAAGAAAGAAAGUCUUCUAAUGGAAGCAUCUGCAAGCCUGAUGAACUAAUUUGAACCUCAGUGACCAUGAAGAGUUUGGAAUGUUACAGGUCCAGGGUCUAUUUACAAUUCAUCUUGGGUUAUCUUUAGCUCUCUAAGUAGCCAUUCUUUCCUUAUAUUUGUGUGAACCUAACAUUCUGUGCCUAACAGAUUAAGAAGUCUUUUGGAAUGUAGUAAAUCUGUGGCUUCCACUAAUUGAAAGACUGAGUGUCAUCAGGUAGUACCUGAGCCCUACAGUCAAUACUUCUCUGCAUGUUUUCACUAAUGUACCUGAAAACUGCUUUGAUCUUUUUAGUUUCUUUGUUCUGUUACUAUAAACUAAUUCCACAUUGGAACAUGGAAUUUGACACUACACCCGUGUUCCCAGGCUAUGGUCGCUCUUAUUUGGCUCUGGAAUAAAUUGAAAUGAGAUGUGUGCUUCUGCCUCAACAUUAAAUUUUCUGGUGAUAACCAUUACCCAAAGUGGUUCACAGAAGGUUUUAUCUUGGCUGGGCAAAUCACAGUGGUGGGGGAGACAUGUCAAGGGAGACUGGAGAAGGAAGCUGAGAGAUCCCAUCUUCAACCACAUGUAGAAAGCAGAGUGUAAGGCCUGGAAGUGGGGCCAGGCUAUAAACCCCCAAAGCCCAUCCACAGUUCUGCAAGGAAAGCUUCCAUCCAUGACCUUGCCAGACAAUGCUGGUCGCUGGGGACUGAUGGUGAAGUCCAUGAGUCAGUGAGGGAACAUUUCUUGUUCAAACCAUCACACCAUAUAAAUUUGAGAGACAG